UCACGCAAACAGCUGGAUAGAAGGCACAUCAUUUAUUUUCUAGCGGGGCGGCGCUCGGCCGUUAUGGCCGCCCCAUGUAUCUUGUAGUUCAGAAUAUUGUUCGGACAUUGGAAAGCGUUUGUGUCAGAGUUUAAAUCAACAGAAAUAAAUCACUAUGAAAACAGAAAUGGGCGUUUAUGCUAUUGUGUUCUCCAAGAACUACGUCAUAUAAUGGAAUCAGUAACUGUCUGCUGGGCAUUUGCGGCGAUGGUUCGCGCGUGAAACAUUCCCGUCAUUGUGACCAUUCUGAAGUACCGGAAACCAUCAAAACUCUACUUCCUGUUGCUGAAUAUGGUCGUAGCUGGUAUGGAACAAAUCGUUCAAACAUAUUUACAGACUUAUGUUUAAGUCAAAAACGGCUUUUGAUUUUCACUUAAUUCUGAAAAAGACACAUAUGCGUA